rnacentral:rRNA from 1 species
UACGGGGGGGGCAAGCGUUGUUCGGAAUUACUGGGCGUAAAGGGCGCGUAGGCGGCCUGCUAAGUCGGACGUGAAAUCCCCGGGCUUAACCCGGGAACUGCGUCCGAUACUGGUGGGCUUGAAUCCGGGAGAGGGAUGUGGAAUUCCAGGUGUAGCGGUGAAAUGCGUAGAUAUCUGGAGGAACACCGGUGGCGAAGGCGGCAUCCUGGACCGGUAUUGACGCUGAGGCGCGAAAGCUAGGGGAGCAACCGGG